rnacentral:rRNA from 1 species
UACGAAGGUCCCGAGCGUUGUUCGGAAUCACUGGGCGUAAAGGGAGCGUAGGCGGCGUGGUAAGUCAGAUGUGAAAUCCCGGGGCUCAACCCCGGAACUGCAUCCGAUACUGCCGUGCUUGAGGGUUGGAGAGGUAGCUGGAAUUAUCGGUGUAGCAGUGAAAUGCGUGGAUAUCGAUAGGAACACCGGUGGCGAAGGCGGGUCUCUGGGCCGAUACUGACGCUGAGGAGCGAAAGCGUGGGGAGCGAACAGG